rnacentral:rRNA from 1 species
UAAUUGGAGAGUUUGAUCCUGGCUCAGGACGAACGCUGGCGGCGUGCCUAACACAUGCAAGUCGAGCGGGGAUUAACUUUAACACAGAGUAUUCCAGCGAGCCAAGCGUAAUAUGCAAAAACAACCUCUUUAAUCGGGGACAUUCCACAACAAGGAUGACCCGAAAAAAGUGUCCCAUUCCAAUAAGGUUUUUGCAUUACGCGUCCCAAAGUGCCAACACAUAUGUGGCAGAUGGGAAUGGGUCUGGAAUAUUGCGUGUUAAAGUUAAUCCUAGCGGCGGACGGGUGAGUAACGCGUGAGCAAUCUGCCUCAUACAGGGGGAUAACAGCUGGAAACAGCUGCUAAUACCGCAUAAGACCACACUAUCGCAUGGUAGAGGGGUCAAAGGAGCAAUCCGGUAUGAGAUGAGCUCGCGUCCCAUUAGCUGGUUGGCGGGGUAACGGCCCACCAAGGCAACGAUGGGUAGCCGACCUGAGAG